GGGUCAGUAGGUUGGUCGUGCCACCGGUACGUACUGGUCUCACUGAUUCCUCCUUCCUGAAGAACCGUAAUACCAUUAAUUUGGUGUUGCGGGGAAACAGGACUGUUACUUUGAAAAAAUUAGGGUGUUUAAAGCAAGCUAACGCUUGAAUACAUUAGCAUGGAAUAAUGAAAUAGGACGAUCGAUCCUAUUUUGUUGGUUUCUAGGAUUGACGUA
rnacentral:rRNA from 1 species